rnacentral:lncRNA from 1 species
UGUUACAUACAAAAUCAUUCAGAAAGUAGAAAUUCAGUCAUCCCAAAUUACUGAAUUUUUAAACUUCCCUAGUGAGUGCCUUAAAAUUCCAAAGGAGGAUUUGGGAAAACUAAAUUAUUCAUGAUUUACUUAAAAUGAGUAGCAGUUUUAUAAACAUCAACCUGAAUAGCACUUUAAAAAUGAACAUCUUUACACUUAGCUUUUAGUUCCUUUACUAAAAUAAUUACUGUCUGUUGGUGGCUUAGUUAUAUGGUUCUGUUUCUCAACCCUGGAGUUGAAAUUCUAUCUUCUUUCACUCCUUCUGGAAUAUGGUGAGUUAUAAAUAAAUAAUUGGUAAACAAUGG